GGCCCUAUGGGGUGCAGCAGGCGCGAAAACUCCGCAAUACACGAAAGUGUGACGGGGGAACCCCAAGUGCUCUCACGCAAGUGAGUGCUUUUGUGAAGUGUAAAUAGCUUCACGAAUAAAAGCGGGGUAAGACCGGUGCCAGCCGCCGCGGUAACACCGGCCGCUUGAGUGGUGAUCACUAUUAUUGGGCCUAAAGCGUCCGUAGCCAGUUUGGUAAGUCCUUGGGCAAAUCCCGUCGCUUAACGGCAGGAAUUCUGGGGAUACUGCUAGACUUGAGGUCGAGAGAGGUCGGAGGUACUUCUGGGGUAGCGGUGAAAUGCUAUAAUCCUAAGGGGACCACCAGUGGCGAAAGCGUCCGACCAGAGCGAGCCUGACGGUAAGGGACGAAAGCCAGGGGAGCGAACGGGAUUAGAUACCCCGGUAGUCCUGGCCGUAAACGCUGUGGGCUAGGUGUUGCAUGCUCUACGAGGGCGUGCAGUGCCGAAGAGAAGUUGAUAAGCCUACCGCCUGGGAAGUACUAUCGCAAGAUAGAAACUUAAAGGAAUUGGCGGGGGAGCAC
rnacentral:rRNA from 1 species